GAUAUGUCUCAGUCAGUGGAGCAUGAGACGCUCAAUCUCAAGGUCGUGGGUUUGAGCCCCGUGUUGGGCA